rnacentral:rRNA from 1 species
GGUUAAGCGACUAAGCGUACACGGUGGAUGCCCUGGCAGUCAGAGGCGAUGAAGGACGUGCUAAUCUGCGAAAAGCGUCGGUAAGGUGAUAUGAACCGUUAUAGCCGGCGAUGUCCGAAUGGGGAAACCCAGUGCAAUUCGUUGCACUAUCGUUAACUGAAUACAUAGGUUAACGAGGCGAACCGGGGGAACUGAAACAUCUAAGUACCCCGAGGAAAAGAAAUCAACCGAGAUUCCCCCAGUAGCGGCGAGCGAACGGGGAGCAGCCCAGAGUCUGAAUCAGCUUGUGUGUUAGUGGAACGGUCUGGAAAGUCCGACGGUACAGGGUGAUAGUCCCGUACACCAAAAUGCACAGGUUGUGAACUCGAAGAGUAGGGCGGGACACGUGGUAUCCUGUCUGAAUAUGGGGGGACCAUCCUCCAAGGCUAAAUACUCCUGACUGACCGAUAGUGAACCAGUACCGUGAGGGAAAGGCGAAAAGAACCCCGGCGAGGGGAGUGAAAAAGAACCUGAAACCGUGUACGUACAAGCAGUGGGAGCACCUUCGGGUGUGACUGCGUACCUUUUGUAUAAUGGGUCAGCGACUUAUAUUCUGUAGCAAGGUUAACCGUAUAGGGGAGCCGCAGGGAAACCGAGUCUUAACUGGGCGUUAAGUUGCAGGGUAUAGACCCGAAACCCGGUGAUCUAGCCAUGGGCAGGUUGAAGGUUGGGUAACACUAACUGGAGGACCGAACCGACUAAUGUUGAAAAAUUAGCGGAUGACUUGUGGCUGGGGGUGAAAGGCCAAUCAAACCGGGAGAUAGCUGGUUCUCCCCGAAAGCUAUUUAGGUAGCGCCUCGUGAACUCAUCUUCGGGGGUAGAGCACUGUUUCGGCUAGGGGGUCAUCCCGACUUACCAACCCGAUGCAAACUACGAAUACCGAAGAAUGUUAUCACGGGAGACACACGGCGGGUGCUAACGUCCGUCGUGAAGAGGGAAACAACCCAGACCGCCAGCUAAGGUCCCAAAGUCAUGGUUAAGUGGGAAACGAUGUGGGAAGGCACAGACAGCCAGGAUGUUGGCUUAGAAGCAGCCAUCAUUUAAAGAAAGCGUAAUAGCUCACUGGUCGAGUCGGCCUGCGCGGAAGAUGUAACGGGGCUAAACCAUGCACCGAAGCUGCGGCAGCGACGCUUAUGCGUUGUUGGGUAGGGGAGCGUUCUGUAAGCCUGCGAAGGUGACCUGUGAGGGUUGCUGGAGGUAUCAGAAGUGCGAAUGCUGACAUAAGUAACGAUAAAGCGGGUGAAAAGCCCGCUCGCCGGAAGACCAAGGGUUCCUGUCCAACGUUAAUCGGGGCAGGGUGAGUCGACCCCUAAGGCGAGGCCGAAAGGCGUAGUCGAUGGGAAACAGGUUAAUAUUCCUGUACUUGGUGUUACUGCGAAGGGGGGACGGAGAAGGCUAUGUUAGCCGGGCGACGGUUGUCCCGGUUUAAGCAUGUAGGCUGGUUAUCCAGGCAAAUCCGGAUAAUCAAGGCUGAGGUGUGAUGACGAGGCACUACGGUGCUGAAGUAACAAAUGCCCUGCUUCCAGGAAAAGCCUCUAAGCAUCAGGUAACACGAAAUCGUACCCCAAACCGACACAGGUGGUCAGGUAGAGAAUACCAAGGCGCUUGAGAGAACUCGGGUGAAGGAACUAGGCAAAAUGGUGCCGUAACUUCGGGAGAAGGCACGCUGGUGUGUAGGUGAAGUCCCUGCGGAUGGAGCUGAGACCAGUCGAAGAUACCAGCUGGCUGCAACUGUUUAUUAAAAACACAGCACUGUGCAAACACGAAAGUGGACGUAUACGGUGUGACGCCUGCCCGGUGCCGGAAGGUUAAUUGAUGGGGUUAUCCGUAAGGAGAAGCUCUUGAUCGAAGCCCCGGUAAACGGCGGCCGUAACUAUAACGGUCCUAAGGUAGCGAAAUUCCUUGUCGGGUAAGUUCCGACCUGCACGAAUGGCGUAAUGAUGGCCAGGCUGUCUCCACCCGAGACUCAGUGAAAUUGAACUCGCUGUGAAGAUGCAGUGUACCCGCGGCAAGACGGAAAGACCCCGUGAACCUUUACUAUAGCUUGACACUGAACAUUGAGCCUUGAUGUGUAGGAUAGGUGGGAGGCUUUGAAGCGUGGACGCCAGUCUGCGUGGAGCCAACCUUGAAAUACCACCCUUUAAUGUUUGAUGUUCUAACGUUGGCCCCUUAUCGGGGUUGCGGACAGUGUCUGGUGGGUAGUUUGACUGGGGCGGUCUCCUCCCAAAGCGUAACGGAGGAGCACGAAGGUUAGCUAAUCCUGGUCGGACAUCAGGAGGUUAGUGCAAUGGCAUAAGCUAGCUUGACUGCGAGCGUGACGGCGCGAGCAGGUGCGAAAGCAGGUCAUAGUGAUCCGGUGGUUCUGAAUGGAAGGGCCAUCGCUCAACGGAUAAAAGGUACUCCGGGGAUAACAGGCUGAUACCGCCCAAGAGUUCAUAUCGACGGCGGUGUUUGGCACCUCGAUGUCGGCUCAUCACAUCCUGGGGCUGAAGUAGGUCCCAAGGGUAUGGCUGUUCGCCAUUUAAAGUGGUACGCGAGCUGGGUUUAGAACGUCGUGAGACAGUUCGGUCCCUAUCUGCCGUGGGCGCUGGAGAAUUGAGGGGGGCUGCUCCUAGUACGAGAGGACCGGAGUGGACGCAUCACUGGUGUUCGGGUUGUCAUGCCAAUGGCACUGCCCGGUAGCUAAAUGCGGAAGAGAUAAGUGCUGAAAGCAUCUAAGCACGAAACUUGCCCCGAGAUGAGUUCUCCCUGAGACUUUAAGUCUCCUGAAGGAACGUUAAAGACGAUGACGUUGAUAGGCCGGGUGUGUAAGCGCAGCGAUGCGUUGAGCUAACCGGUACUAAUGAACCGUGAGGCUUAACCUU